UCCGUUAAUUGAUUUAUUAAUUAAAAACAAAAAGUUCCGGUUACUAGCGUCCAAGCUCACGACCUCUGUGCAUGUUCGAACUUCACGCGCUCGCGCUUUUGCACAUGAGAAACCCUUGAAGCUCUGAAGGUGACUUCUGGUUUUUCUGGCUCCUCAGUUUCCUGAGGGUUUGUUAUAUUAUUUGUCCUCUCCCAAAACCCGAGUCCAAACCAGCCGGCUUACCACACGAAAAACAAAGCACAUCUGCGUGCAGUGUCUUCUUUCUGUUUGGCCUGGAUGCUUUGCCAAUUUCCAGAUAAGGUGGAUGGGAAGUGGAGAUGAGGCAGAUGAGAUGGUGUGAGAAGACAAUAGCAAAUCGGAGGGGAGAAAGAGAACAUUUAUAAACCCAGACAACAGAUGCCUGCGAUGUUGCCGCGGCAGCAUCAGACAGUUGGAAAGAAACAGACUCCAUGUGGACGGAGGGCAGAUGUCCUUCUGCCCAGCUAGAGAACACCAGGAUGAAUUCCUCAGACUCGGUAUCUGACCUUGUGCUAGCGUGGCGGGCCCCGAGUUCCUUCUGAUGCUGAACAGUGUCCGGCCUUAUAUGACCACAACGUGUAGGUGACAGACUCCCUCGUGUUCCUCAGAUCUGGAUCACUGGCAUCUUUUUUUUUUUUUAAGCAUAUCUUAGUGCUGUUUAAGUUUUGUUCAUGCACAUUUCAAGGUAUUUUACUUACCUCUUGGUAUUUUAAUGUUAUUCUAGGAAUACUGCCUCGGUAUCUUACUAAAUAUAAUAAUGCGACUUUUUCUUCAUAAUUGAGCGGUGCCUACUUCAAUAAAGUGCGUUGUCAAGAAUAGGUUAUCUAUAUAAAAACCAGUGCUACAAAUAAGAUCUGGGUCUGACUCGCUCCCUGAUGGAGACAACUUAGAAUUAUGUUGCCA